GUGGGGAGGGCUCCGGCUCCCCGACACGAGCGCGGCCCGCGCGUGGCAUCCUGGGUAAAAAGUGGCCGAGCCACACCGGGAGAGAGCCGAGAGGAGCCGGGGUCAGAGGUCAGGGCCCAGGAGCCCGGCGCGCCGAGCUGCUCUCCCCCCCCCCUUCCCCCCCACGUGAACGCAGCGAGCGGGAGGAACCUUUUUGUUUUCCACCGCGCCAGCAUGCUCCCCUUAUUGACCGGGCUGCUGGAGGGAGAGGGGCCGCGCCGCGCCGCGGCUCUCAGCCCACCCCCACCCGCCCCCCUCCGCUGCCGACACACCGCCCGACUCUCCCCUUCCCCGCCGCGCAUCCCAGCCCCCCGCGUGGGGCUGGCAAGAACGCAGUAAAUUUGCUUUAACAACAAGUGGGGGUGGUUGCAUUUACUCCUCCCUCUCGCCUCUCCUCCUCCUCCUCCUCUCCCCCCCCCCCCCCGCCCCGCUCCUCGCCGCGGCUCUUGACACUACUACAAACCAGCACUAUAAACAUAAACAUGUGUCACUGUAACAGGGCAGGAUAGCGAUAGAAAUCAACUUUAGACCUAAAUCGAACCGAACACCACUCUCUUCCCAUAGAACAGUACCUACUACACAGUCUGCGCAGAGAUUCCUUCAAACAACGAGAAAGGCUGUUUAAAAACUGAGUUCGAGACCUAGUAUGCAAAGUAGCUGAAAAUGGAAGUCAGUGAUUGGCUCCAAUGCUUCUCGGAGGAUUUGGGCUAAAGCCAGGGGAACAGAACCAGAGGAUUCCCUUUCCAGACCAUCACGCUGUUUCUGCCUUAUCUUUCCCGCUCUCCUGGGUGCUCAAGAUUUUAGUGUGGCUACAGCAGCCCUUAGAUAGACCUCAACACUUAGAAUCAUCACUUCAGUUUCUUCACAUUUGGCCUUAGUGUAAAAUAAACAAAAACUUGGGUAACCCCAAUAAAUGUUCAUUCUUGA